UACGUAGGGUGCGAGCGUUAAUCGGAAUUACUGGGCGUAAAGGGUGCGCAGGCGGUUAUAUAAGACAGAUGUGAAAUCCCCGGGCUCAACCUGGGAACUGCGUUUGUGACUGUAUGACUAGAGUACGGUAGAGAGGGGUGGAAUUCCUGGUGUAGCAGUGAAAUGCGUAGAUAUCAGGAGGAACACCGAUGGCGAAGGCAGGUCACUGGGCCACUACUGACGCUGAGGAGCGAAAGCAUGGGGGAGCGAACAGG
rnacentral:rRNA from 1 species